GUGAAUCAUCGAAUUUUUGAACGCAAAUUGCACUCUCUUCGGAGAGGAUGCCUGUUUGAGGGUCAGUAUUAAUAAAAAUAGGCGUGUUGCUCUUUGCUGCCGUUCCGGGGUUUGGAUCAUCUUAUAAUAACACCCUUUCAGGUUAUUUUUCAGAGGCUUAGAAUUGACCUUUUUUAUGCAUUUUAGACGUACAUAAAUUUUUUUUUAUUCGUCUAUCUUAAUGUCUAAUCUCUAUUAGAUGCGACCAUAUCGAUUUGUUACG
rnacentral:misc_RNA from 1 species